AAUCAACGCUGGCGGCGUGCCUCAGACAUGCAAGUCGAACGAUUAAAGCUCCCUUCGGGGAGUGCAUAAAGUGGCGCACGGGUGAGUAACACGUAAGUAAUCUACCUUCGAGUGGGGAAUAACGUUCGGAAACGAACGCUAAUACCGCAUAAUGCAGCGGCAUCUAUGAUGACAGUUGUUAAAGAUUUAUCGCUUGAAGAGGAGCUUGCGGCAGAUUAGCUAGUUGGUAAGGUAAUGGCUUACCAAGGCUACGAUCUGUAUCCGGUCUAAGAGGACGGUCGGACACACUGACACUGAAUAACGGGUCAGACUCCUACGGGAGGCAGCAGUCGGGAAUUUUGGGCAAUGGGCGAAAGCCUGACCCAGCAACGCCGCGUGAAGGAUGAAGUUUUUCGGAAUGUAAACUUCGUAAGAAUAGGAAGAAUAAAUGACGGUACUAUUUGUAAGGUCCGGCUAACUACGUGCCAGCAGCCCCGCGGUAAG
rnacentral:rRNA from 1 species